GGGGGAUUAAACAGAGGCUUAUAUAAUGAUCUUGAAAUUAAAGUGAAAAACCUUGGUUUUUACACGACGGAGACAGGAUUGUGCUUUUUGCUGAUGUCCCCCAUUUAAUAAAACUACAGAGAAAUCAUUUUGUGGAUAAGGGCUUUACUAUCAAUGGAAAAAUUGUUAGAAAAGACAUUAUUCUGAAGCUGCUCUCGCUUACCUCCAACGUGCUGUCCAUCACGCACAAAAUUUCCCAGAAGCAUUUGCCUAUAACAGGAGCAGAAAGGCAAAAGGUUAAACUAGCCACAAAAUUGUUCUCCCACACAAUUGCUCAAGCAAUAACUCGAGCCGCUAGUUUAGGUCUACUAGAUAACGAAAAUUGGGAGGAAUGCCAUCGACUUUUCAAAAUUACAAAUGACUGGUUUGAUCUGAUGAAUGUCAGGGUGCCCAAAGAUGGAGUGAGGGAACGCUUGCACGCCUACGGUUUGGCUUUGAAUAAGCAAAAUAAUGUACUGGAACAGAUGACGGAGAUGGUUUCAUCAAUGAGAGUCAUUGGUAAAAAUAGGUUGCUUCCAUUCCAAAAAGGUAUACUCCAAAGCAAUAAUGCUUUGAAAUUGCUGCUGGAUGACUUAAGGCAGCAGUACAAAAUUGAUUACGUUUUGACCUACCGAUUAAACCAGGACAAUUUGGAAAUUUUUUUUGGCACAAUGAGGUCACGAUCACCCUAACAGGCAGGAGUCCAAAUAUAGGCUGCGUUCCUAUAUACUUGGUCACUACGAAGGAGCGAACACAGAAGAAGGAAAUGUUGAAGUCGACAACACACCAGAUUUGGAAGGGAAUUACUUAUCUCUAACCGGUACUAUUUUUCAACGUGUGUCAGUUGAUCUAAAUUCCACUGACCCAAUUGAAAAAAAUGACGGACUUGAGAAUUUAGCAGGGUACAUCUGCCACAAACUCGGUAAAGACAACCCCGAAAUUUGUGCCAACUCAGAAAAUUGUUCGUCUUAUACUUGGGUGGAUCACCUUUCUGAAGGAGGACUCUCAAAACCAACAGAUAUGUUGACGGAGCAUAUGAGAGCCUUGCAAGCAGUAUUUGACGAUGUAAAUGGUACUGAUUUGCAUAUAUGUACAAAUUACGUCCAGAAGCACUUAGAUUUAAGUAAUUUUGUAAAUUGUAGCUCGAAAGUAAAAUAAUUGUUUUUCAGAGCUAGAAUGUAUUUUAGGAUUCGUUCCUUAAAUAAAAAUUUAAUUGAACAUAUGUAUAGCAAAAAAAGAAAAUUAAAUAAGACAAUAAAUUGAUACUUGGUCACAAAA